AGAGUUUGAUCMUGGCUCAGAUUGAACGCUGGCGGCGUGCUUAACACAUGCAAGUCGAACGAGAAAGGGACUUCGGUCCUGAGUAGAGUGGCGCACGGGUGAGUAACGCGUAGGUAAUCUACCUCUGCAUCUGGGAUAACACUUCGAAAGGGGUGCUAAUACCGGAUACACUUAUGGAUCGCAAGGUCUAUAAGGAAAGGAGACCUCUCCUUGGAAGUUUCUGUGUAGAGAUGAGCCUGCGUCCCAUUAGCUAGUUGGUAGGGUAAAGGCCUACCAAGGCGACGAUGGGUAGCGGGUCUGAGAGGAUGAUCCGCCACACUGGAACUGAAACACGGACCAGACUCCUACGGGAGGCAGCAGUGAGGAAUAUUGGACAAUGGGCGCAAGCCUGAUCCAGCGACGCCGCGUGAGUGAUGAAGGCCUUUGGGUCGUAAAGCUCUGUCAGCAGGGAAGAACGGCCGUGUGGUUAAUACCCAUGCGGAUUGACGGUACCUGCAGAGGAAGCACCGGCUAACUCCGUGCCAGCAGCCGCGGUAAUAGCUGAU
rnacentral:rRNA from 1 species